rnacentral:lncRNA from 1 species
CCAAGAAGCUUAGCCUUUGCUAACCUAAGCUUCAAAAUUUGUUCAAUAACCGGAGUAUUAUCUAAAUCUCCACUUGACGCACGUGUUAUAUAAGCACGGUAAAUUUCCUCCCGCAAAGCCCGAUUCUUAGCAUGUUGCAUAACAGACAUGAAACUUGGUCCGUCUAGUGUUAUCAUCCAUGGCCCAUUUUCAGCAGUGGCAUUUUCAUGACCCUAAAUCGGUAGAAAGAGUAAACUAAGUAAAAGAUUAAUGCUUUUGUGCUAAUCGGGAUCGAAAGGUAACAACUAAUUAGUUGUGCUCGGGAACCUUAGAUGUGGCUAUUUGUGCGGCCAAUCCGAGAGCGAAACUAUUGAUGAUGCUUACAUUCAACUAUUCGUUUACGAGCAUCACUUAGUGUUGCCCAGUCUGGUGAAUCCUUCAUAGCCUUGAAAGCAUUAUAAAUUGGUUUACUUUGAUCAACCUUUAGGCCAAAUGUGAUUCUCUCAGGCUGCACACGUAUUCGAAUAAGAUCACAAGGUCAAAACUUC